rnacentral:rRNA from 1 species
UACGUAGGUGGCAAGCGUUGUCCGGAAUUAUUGGGCGUAAAGCGCGCGCUAGGUGGUUCUUUAAGUCUGAUAGUCGAAAGCCCACGGCUCAACCGUGAGGUCAUUGGAAACUGGGAACUUGAGUGCAGAAGAGGAAAGUGGAAUUCCAAGUGUAGCGGUGAAAUGCGUAGAGAUUUGGAGGAACACCAGUGGCGAAGGCGAC